rnacentral:rRNA from 1 species
GGGGGAAACCCGUAGAUGCAGCCAUGCCGCGUGUGUGAAGAAGGACCUUCGGGUGUUAAAGCACUUUCAGUAGGGAGGAAGGUAGUGUAGUUAACACCUGCAUUAUUUGACGUUACCUACAGAAGAAGCACCGGCUAACUCCGUGCCAGCAGCCGCGGUAAUACGGAGGGGUGCGAGCGUUAAUCGGAAUUACUGGGCGUAAAGCGCAUGCAGGCGGCCUGUUAAGUCAGAUGUGAAAGCCCGGGGCUUAACCUCGGAAUUGCAUUUGAAACUGGCAGGCUAGAGUCUUGUAGAGGGGGGUAGGAAUUUCAGGUGUAGCGGUGAAAUGCGUAGAGAUCUGAAGGAAUACCAGUGGCGAAAGCGGCCCCCUGGACAAAGACUGACGCUCAGAUGCGAAAGCGUGGGGAGCAAACAGGAUUAGAUACCCCUGGUAG